GUCGAGCGAGAAUUUACGAAUGAAAUUUCGAUGGAUUUUGUAAAUGGAAAGCGGCGGACGGGUGAGUAACGCGUAGGUAACCUGCCCCAUACAGAGGGAUAGCCACUGGAAACGGUGAUUAAUACCUCAUAAAACUGAGAAUACACAUGUAUGCUCAGCCAAAGAUUUAUCGGUAUGGGAUGGACCUGCGUCUGAUUAGUUAGUUGGUGAGGUAACGGCUCACCAAGGCGACGAUCAGUAGCCGACCUGAGAGGGUGAUCGGCCACAUUGGAACUGAGACACGGUCCAAACUCCUACGGGAGGCAGCAGUGGGGAAUAUUGCACAAUGGGCGAAAGCCUGAUGCAGCAACGCCGCGUGAACGAAGAAGGCUCUUGGGUCGUAAAGUUCUGUUCUGAGGGAAGAAGAAAGUGACGGUACCUCAGGAGAAAGCCCCGGCUAACUACGUGCCAGCAGCCGCGGUAAUACGUAGGGGGCAAGCGUUGUCCGGAAUUAUUGGGCGUAAAGAGUACGUAGGCGGUCUGUUAAGCGCAAGGUGAAAGGCAUAGGCUCAACCAAUGUGAGCCUUGCGAACUGGCAGACUUGAGUGCAGGAGAGGAAAGCGGAAUUCCUAGUGUAGCGGUGAAAUGCGUAGAUAUUAGGAGGAACACCGGUGGCGAAGGCGGCUUUCUGGACUGAAACUGACGCUGAGGUACGAAAGCGUGGGGAGCAAACAGGAUUAGAUACCCUGGUAGUCCACGCUGUAAACG
rnacentral:rRNA from 1 species